GUCUGGUUAGCUCAGUCGGUACGAGCGCAGGUCUCAUAUCUCUAUAUGAAUCAGUCACAGGCUGAGUGAUCCUGAGGUCGUGAGUUCGAGCCUCACAUCGGACA